rnacentral:rRNA from 1 species
UGGGGAAUCUUGCGCAAUGGGCGAAAGCCUGACGCAGCCAUGCCGCGUGAGUGAUGAAGGCCUUAGGGUUGUAAAACUCUUUCACCGGGGACGAUAAUGACGGUACCCGGAGAAGAAGCCCCGGCUAACUUCGUGCCAGCAGCCGCGGUAAUACGAAGGGGGCUAGCGUUGCUCGGAAUUACUGGGCGUAAAGGGCGCGUAGGCGGAUCAGCAAGUUGGGGGUGAAAGCCCGGGGCUCAACCUCGGAAUUGCCUUCAAAACUGCUGAUCUAGAGUACGGGAGAGGUGUGUGGAACUCCGAGUGUAGAGGUGAAAUUCGUAGAUAUUCGGAAGAACACCAGUGGCGAAGGCGACACACUGGCCCGUUACUGACGCUGAGGCGCGAAAGCGUGGGGAGCAAACAGGAUUAGAUACCCUGGUAGUCCACGCUGUAAACGAUGAUUGCUAGUUGUCGGCAGGCAUGCCUGUCGGUGACGCAGCUAACGCAUUAAGCAAUCCGCCUGGGGAGUACGGUCGCAAGAUUAAAAACUCAAAUG